GGGCGCGUGGUGGAGUGGUUACCACGUCCGCUUUGCAUCCGCUUCGGAGAAGUGCACUAGCGGUAGGUCGCGGGUUCAAAUCCCGUCGUGUCCA